GAUGAACGCUGGCGGCGUGCCUAAUACAUGCAAGUCGAGCGAACAGAUGAGGAGCUUGCUCCUCUGACUUUAUCGGCGGACGGGUGAGUAACACGUGGAUAACCUACCUAUAAGACUGGGAUAACUUCGGGAAACCGGAGCUACUACCGGAUAAUAUAUUGCCCCGCAUUGUUCAAUCGUGAAAGACGGUUUUGCUGUCACUUAUAGAUUGAUCCGCGCCGCAUUAGCUAGUUGGUAAGGUGACGGCUUACCAAGGCAACGAUGCGUAGCCGACCUGAGCGGGAGGACCGACAGCUGGGAAGUGAGAAAGGGCCGAGACUCCGGAGGGAGGAAGCAGUAGGGACUCUUAUGCAAAGGGGGAGAGCCUGAUGGAGCAACGUCGCGGGAGUGAUGAAGGUCUUAGGACCGUAAAACUAUGUUAGUAGGGAAGAACAAAUGCGUAAGUAACCAAGCAGGUAUUGACGGUACCGAAACAGAAAGCUACGGCUAACUACGUG
rnacentral:rRNA from 1 species